GCUGGGCAUGGUGGCUCACAUCUGUAAUCCCAGCACUUUGGGAGGCUGAGGCAGGAGGAUCACUUGAGCCCAGGAGUUUGAGGCUGCAGUGAGUGAUCAUCACACCACUGCAAUCCAACCUGGGCAACAGAGUGAGAACUUGUCUCUG
ensembl:misc_RNA Metazoa_SRP Metazoan signal recognition particle RNA